GCCCACCAAUAUUGCAAUCCUUAGCACCAAGAAGGGAGAAUUCUUGUGGAACAUAAUUUGAGGAUUGCUUACAUGAUGCUAUAGGACUCGAAUAUGGAAGCAUGGUAUAAGUUUUUAUUUAUCUGUUGAAUGUGGCAAUUUUCAGAAUGAAGAGGUGUUCAAUGUAUAUAUGUUUUAAAGAUAUGCAGCAAGGUUUGCCAAAUUGGUAUUGAAGGUCGUCCUAACCGGUGACCGGUUCAACACAAUACAGAUCUGCACCAUGCCAUUUUGGGAUGUUUUGGAAAUAGAGAGCGCAAAAGAGAGAGAGAGGG
rnacentral:lncRNA from 1 species